rnacentral:rRNA from 1 species
AUACGGAGGGUGCAAGCGUUACUCGGAAUCACUGGGCGUAAAGGACGCGUAGGCGGAUUGGAAAGUCAGAUGUGAAAUCCUACAGCUUAACUGUAGAACUGCAUUUGAAACUUCUAAUCUAGAGUAUGGGAGGGGGAGAUGGAAUUAGUGGUGUAGGGGUAAAAUCCGUAGAUAUCAAUAGGAAUACCGAAAGCGAAGGCGAUCUCCUGGAACAUAACUGACGCUAAGGCGUGAAAGCGUGGGGAGCAAACGGGAUUAGAAACCCUAGUAGUCC